AUUGAACGCUGGCGGCAGGCCUAACACAUGCAAGUCGAGCGGAUGAAGGGAGCUUGCUCCUGGAUUCAGCGGCGGACGGGUGAGUAAUGCCUAGGAAUCUGCCUGGUAGUGGGGGAUAACGUCCGGAAACGGGCGCUAAUACCGCAUACGUCCUGAGGGAGAAAGUGGGGGAUCUUCGGACCUCACGCUCUCAGAUGAGCCUAGGUCGGAUUAGCUAGUUGGUGGGGUAAAGGCCUACCAAGGCGACGAUCCGUAACUGGUCUGAGAGGAUGAUCAGUCACACUGGAACUGAGACACGGUCCAGACUCCUACGGGAGGCAGCAGUGGGGAAUAUAGGACAGUGGGCGAAAGCCUGAUCCAGCCAUGCCGCGUGUGUGAAGAAGGUCUUCGGAUGGUAAAGCACGUUAAGUUGGGAGGAAGGGCAGUAAGUUAACACCGUGCUGUUUUGACGUUACCAACAGAAUAAGCACCGGCUAACUUCGUG
rnacentral:rRNA from 1 species